UACGUAGGUGACAAGCGUUGUCCGGAUUUACUGGGCGUAAAGAGCGCGCAGGCGGUCGUUCAAGUCGAGUGUGAAAGCCCCCGGCUCAACUGGGGAGGGUCACUCGAUACUGAUCGACUCGAAGGCAGGAGAGGGUAGUGGAAUUCCCGGUGUAGUGGUGGAAAUGCGUAGAUAUUGGGAGGAACACCAGUGGCGAAGGCGACUACCUGGCCUGUUCUUGACGCUGAGGCGCGAAAGCUAGGGGAGCAAACGGGG
rnacentral:rRNA from 1 species